rnacentral:rRNA from 1 species
ACGCUGGCGGCAGGCCUAACACAUGCAAGUCGAGCGGUAGAGAGAAGCUUGCUUCUCUUGAGAGCGGCGGACGGGUGAGUAAUGCCUAGGAAUCUGCCUGGUAGUGGGGGAUAACGUUCGGAAACGGACGCUAAUACCGCAUACGUCCUACGGGAGAAAGCAGGGGACCUUCGGGCCUUGCGCUAUCAGAUGAGCCUAGGUCGGAUUAGCUAGUUGGUGGGGUAAUGGCUCACCAAGGCGACGAUCCGUAACUGGUCUGAGAGGAUGAUCAGUCACACUGGAACUGAGACAUGGUCCAGACUCCUACGGGAGGCAGCAGUGGGGAAUAUUGGACAAUGGGCGAAAGCCUGAUCCAGCCAUGCCGCGUGUGUGAAGAAGGUCUUCGGAUUGUAAAGCACUUUAAGUUGGGAGGAAGGGUUGUAGAUUAAUACUCUGCAAUUUUGACGUUACCGACAGAAUAAGCACCGGCUAACUCUGUGCCAGCAGCCGCGGUAAUACAGAGGGUGCAAGCGUUAAUCGGAAUUACUGGGCGUAAAGCGCGCGUAGGUGGUUUGUUAAGUUGGAUGUGAAAUCCCCGGGCUCAACCUGGGGACUGCAUUCAAAACUGACUGACUAGAGUAUGGUAGAGGGUGGUGGAAUUUCCUGUGUAGCGGUGAAAUGCGUAGAUAUAGGAAGGAACACCAGUGGCGAAGGCGACCACCUGGACUAAUACUGACACUGAGGUGCGAAAGCGUGGGGAGCAAAC